CUUAUCCCUAAGCGAUUUUCUGGCUCACGGGCCUGCCGCUGCAGCAGCGGCCGCGGCCAAGGAGGUUGCUGCGAAUACCGUCAUUGGAUUCUGUACAGCCAGAAAAAAAGUCUUUAUCAAGCGGCAAGGGCCUCUAAGAAAAGGAAAAGCUUUUCUCCUCCAUGCCAUAUACAUGAAUUACUCUACGAUAUCUGGGCUUGUAUCUGUCAGCGUAGCUUUUUAAACUCGCCGAUAAAGUCCCUUCAAUCUUGUUCAUAGUUUUCUCUCAUAGUUCUCUCAAGAAAGGAUCUCUCCUUUAGUUUUUUACCUUUGUCAUACUCCCUUUCUACUUCAGAGAAUCUCUUUCCUUUGAUAAGAUCGAAGAAAA
rnacentral:lncRNA from 1 species